GAAUCUCACUGCUUUAGUGGUAAAACAUCUGCUUUGUAUGCAGAAAGUCCCAGUUUCAAUGCCUGGAAUCUCCA